rnacentral:miRNA from 1 species
ACGAUACGGCGAUAAUUCUGAU